UACGGGGGGGCAAGCGUUGUUCGGAAUUACUGGGCGUAAAGGGCUGGUAGGCGGCCAACUAAGUCGGAUGUGAAAUCCCUCGGCUUAACCGGGGAACUGCGUCUGAUACUGGAUGGCUUGGUCGGGAGAGGGAUGCGGGAAUUCCAGGUGUAGCGGUGAAAUGCGUAGAUAUCUGGAGGAACACCGGUGGCGAAGGCGGCAUCCUGGACCGACAC
rnacentral:rRNA from 1 species